rnacentral:rRNA from 1 species
UACGUAGGUGGCAAGCGUUUGUCCGGAAUUAUUGGGCGUAAAGCGCGCGCAGGCGGUUUCUUAAGUCUGAUGUGAAAGCCCACGGCUUAACCGUGGAAGGUCAUUGGAAACUGGGAGACUUGAGUGCAGAAGAGAAGAGCGGAAUUCCACGUGUAGCGGUGAAAUGCGUAGAGAUGUGGAGGAACACCAGUGGCGAAGGCGGCUCUUUGGUCUGUAACUGACGCUGAGGCGCGAAAGCGUGGGGAUCAAACAGG